UACAGGGGGGGCAAGCGUUGUUCGGAAUUACUGGGCGUAAAGGGCCAGUAGGCGGCCAACUAAGUCCGACGUGAAAUCCCCAGGCUUAACCUGGGAACUGCGUCGGAUACUGGAUGGCUUGAAUUCGGGAGAGGGAUGCAGAAUUCCAGGUGUAGCGGUGAAAUGCGUAGAUAUCUGGAGGAACACCGGUGGCGAAGGCGGCAUCCUGGACCGGUAUUGACGCUGAGGCGCGAAAGCCAGGGGAGCAAACGGGG
rnacentral:rRNA from 1 species